AGUGAACGCUGGCGGUAGGCCUAACACAUGCAAGUCGAACGGCAGCACAGUAAGAGCUUGCUCUUACGGGUGGCGAGUGGCGGACGGGUGAGGAAUACAUCGGAAUCUACUUUUUCGUGGGGGAUAACGUAGGGACACUUACGCUAAUACCGCAUACAACCUACGGGUGAAAGCAGGGGAUCUUCGGACCUUGCGCGAUUGAAUGAGCCGAUGUCGGAUUAGCUAGUUGGCGGGGUAAAGGCCCACCAAGGCGACGAUCCGUAGCUGGUCUGAGAGGAUGAUCAGCCACACUGGAACUGAGACACGGUCCAGACUCCUACGGGAGGCAGCAGUGGGGAAUAUUGGACAAUGGGCGCAAGCCUGAUCCAGCCAUACCGCGUGGGUGAAGAAGGCCUUCGGGUUGUAAAGCCCUUUUGUUGGGAAAGAAAAGCAGCAGGUUAAUACCCCGCUGUUCUGACGGUACCCAAAGAAUAAGCACCGGCUAACUUCGUG
rnacentral:rRNA from 1 species